GCAGUCGAACGAUGACCUCCAGCUUGCUGGAGUGAUUAGUGGCGAACGGGUGAGUAACACGUGAGUAACCUGCCCUUGACUCUGGGAUAAGCACUGGAAACGGUGUCUAAUACCGGAUACGAACCUCAGCCGCAUGGCUAGGGGUUGGAAAGAAUUUUGGUCAAGGAUGGACUCGCGGCCUAUCAGCUAGUUGGUGAGGUAACGGCCCACCAAGGCGACGACGGGUAGCCGGCCUGAGAGGGUGACCGGCCACACUGGGACUGAGACACGGCCCAGACUCCUACGGGAGGCAGCAGUGGGGAAUAUUGCACAAUGGGCGAAAGCCUGAUGCAGCAACGCCGCGUGAGGGACGACGGCCUUCGGGUUGUAAACCUCUUUUAGUAGGGAAGAAGCGAAAGUGACGGUACCUGCAGAAAAAGCACCGGCUAACUACGUGCCAGCAGCCGCGGUAAUACGUAGGGUGCAAGCGUUGUCCGGAAUUAUUGGGCGUAAAGAGCUCGUAGGCGGUUUGUCGCGUCUGCUGUGAAAACCCGAGGCUCAACCUCGGGCCUGCAGUGGGUACGGGCAGACUAGAGUGCGGUAGGGGAGAUUGGAAUUCCUGGUGUAGCGGUGGAAUGCGCAGAUAUCANGAGGAACACCGAUGGCGAAGGCAGAUCUCUGGGCCGUAACUGACGCUGAGGAGCGAAAGCAUGGGGAGCGAACAGGAUUAGAUACCCUGGUAGUCCAUGCCGUAAACGUUGGGAACUAGAUGUAGGGGC
rnacentral:rRNA from 1 species